rnacentral:misc_RNA from 1 species
ACUAUAUUAGGCUCAGUUGAUCCGUCAUUCAUACUUUUCCCCCAUUCUUACAGGGACUUUAAAUAAAAACAAGGGAAGGACAUGUUUUAAAGAAAAUGGAUAGAUACAAAAGCACGAAAAUUAAUACGAAUCGAAUCAAUAUCUGAACAAAGUUAGAUAGUAUGAUUUCACAAGGCUGAAAAAUCAAUUUAGUUAGAACAAAUUUUCCAAUUUCUGGAAGGUGAUGUUCAGAACUUAUCAUCCAUUUUCCACCUAUGGUCAUGACUGCACACAAACAACAAAAACCUAAUAUCUG